CUGCGCACCUCCUGCCCGGUUCUCUGUGAGCCAGAGGAGCCGGGUGCGUCCCCGGUGCACUCGGUCGCUUCGCCCCUCCCGCGCCCGGGGAGCCUGGGCCCCCACCCACUACGGCUCCAGGCACCACCUCGGUUCCACUCAAUCGAUUUUUUGCUGCAUGUCAACACUUAUUACCGACAUGAAAAGUGUUUGACUCAAUCCAGUGUCUACCGGCAAACCAUUUGCAUUCAUGACUGUGGAGUGACUGCCUGAACAAUAAAGGCUGCCAGACCCUGGGUGGUCCAGCAUGAACAUUCCCCAGUGGCUGAGACCCCAGAGCCUGCCUAGACCUCCUAUCACUCUCAGCGACGGAGGCAGUUGUUCUGUUACGGGGCUGCUGGGGCAGCCCUAUGAAUGAAGAUGGGCCAGAAUGAACAUAACAGUCACUGGACAGAGCAUCUUGACCACUGAACCUCCAGCAAUAGUCAAGCUUUUCUAUGGCUACAACCUCAGCCUUACCUUGAAUCCAGCUUCAUGAAAGAAUGUGACCCAGGAGCCUGGCACGGCAGCCUAGUGGCUAAAGUCCUCAUCUUGCAUGCACCAGGAUCCCACAUGAACACCAGUUCAUGCCCCGGCAGUCCCACUUCCCAUCCAGCUCCCUGCUUGUAGCCUGGGGAAACAGUGGAGGAUUGCCCAAAGCCUUGGGACCCUGCACCUGUGUGGGAGACCCUGAAGAAGUUCCUGGCUCCUGGCUUUGGAUUGGCUCAGCUCUGACUGUUGCAGUCACUUGGGGAGUGAAUCAGCAAACAGAAUAUCUUUCUGCCUCUCCUCCUCUCUAUAAAUCUGCCUUUAAAAAAAAA